AAAAGAGUGGCAAACUCACAUUUUCAAAGGGUAGGUAUCUACUUUGAUGGCAGAAUUUGUAAGUGAUAUUUUUAACAGUUUUAUUAGGGUAUAGUUUUUUUGGAGGGGGCAGACAGUGUCUUGCUCUUGCCCAGGCUGGAAUUCAGUGGCGCAAUGUCAGCUCACUGCAACCUCCACCUCCCAGAUUCAAGCAAUUCUCUUGCCUCAGUCCCCUGAGUAAAUGAAACUACAGGCAUGUACAUCACACUCAGCUACCUUUUUGGUUCAAUUGUUUUAAUUUUAACUCCUAUAAAUGA
rnacentral:lncRNA from 1 species